rnacentral:rRNA from 1 species
AUUGAACGCUGGCGGCAUGCCUUACACAUGCAAGUCGAACGGCAGCACGGGUGCUUGCACCUGGUGCGAGUGGCGGAACGGGUGAGUAAUACAUCGGAAUGUACCUUGUAGUGGGGGAUAGCCCGGCGAAAGCCGGAUUAAUACCGCAUACGCUCUGAGGAGGAAAGCGGGGGACCUUCGGGCCUCGUGCUACAAGAGCAGCCGAUGUCAGAUUAGCUUGUUGGUGAGGUAAAAGCUCACCAAGGCGACGAUCUGUAGCUGGUCUGAGAGGACGACCAGCCACACUGGGACUGAGACACGGCCCAGACUCCUACGGGAGGCAGCAGUGGGGAAUUUUGGACAAUGGGCGAAAGCCUGAUCCAGCAAUGCCG